rnacentral:rRNA from 1 species
UACGGAGGGUGCAAGCGUUGUCCGGAAUCACUGGGCGUAAAGGGCGCGUAGGCGGCUCAUGAAGGCUGUGGUGAAAGUCCGGGGGCUCAACCUCGGAUCGGCCGUGGCGACUCGUGGGCUGGAGCACUGUAGAGGCGGGUGGAAUUCCGGGUGUAGCGGUGGAAUGCGUAGAGAUCCGGAAGAACACCAGUGGCGAAGGCGGCCCCGCUGGGCAGUGGCUGACGCUGAGGCGCGACAGCGUGGGGGAGCAAAACAGGG